rnacentral:rRNA from 1 species
UUAAGCGACUAAGCGUACACGGUGGAUGCCCUGGCAGUCAGAGGCGAUGAAGGACGUGCUAAUCUGCGAUAAGCGUCGGUAAGGUGAUAUGAACCGUUAUAACCGGCGAUUUCCGAAUGGGGAAACCCAGUGUGUUUCGACACAUUAUCAUUAACUGAAUCCAUAGGUUAAUGAGGCGAACCGGGGGAACUGAAACAUCUAAGUACCCCGAGGAAAAGAAAUCAACCGAGAUUCCCCCAGUAGCGGCGAGCGAACGGGGAGCAGCCCAGAGCCUGAAUCAGUGUGUGUGUUAGUGGAAGCGUCUGGAAAGGCGCGCGAUACAGGGUGACAGCCCCGUACACAAAAAUGCACAUACUGUGAGCUCGAUGAGUAGGGCGGGACACGUGGUAUCCUGUCUGAAUAUGGGGGGACCAUCCUCCAAGGCUAAAUACUCCUGACUGACCGAUAGUGAACCAGUACCGUGAGGGAAAGGCGAAAAGAACCCCGGCGAGGGGAGUGAAAAAGAACCUGAAACCGUGUACGUACAAGCAGUGGGAGCCUCUUUAUGGGGUGACUGCGUACCUUUUGUAUAAUGGGUCAGCGACUUAUAUUCUGUAGCAAGGUUAACCGAAUAGGGGAGCCGAAGGGAAACCGAGUCUUAACUGGGCGUUAAGUUGCAGGGUAUAGACCCGAAACCCGGUGAUCUAGCCAUGGGCAGGUUGAAGGUUGGGUAACACUAACUGGAGGACCGAACCGACUAAUGUUGAAAAAUUAGCGGAUGACUUGUGGCUGGGGGUGAAAGGCCAAUCAAACCGGGAGAUAGCUGGUUCUCCCCGAAAGCUAUUUAGGUAGCGCCUCGUGAAUUCAUCUCCGGGGGUAGAGCACUGUUUCGGCAAGGGGGUCAUCCCGACUUACCAACCCGAUGCAAACUGCGAAUACCGGAGAAUGUUAUCACGGGAGACACACGGCGGGUGCUAACGUCCGUCGUGAAGAGGGAAACAACCCAGACCGCCAGCUAAGGUCCCAAAGUCAUGGUUAAGUGGGAAACGAUGUGGGAAGGCCCAGACAGCCAGGAUGUUGGCUUAGAAGCAGCCAUCAUUUAAAGAAAGCGUAAUAGCUCACUGGUCGAGUCGGCCUGCGCGGAAGAUGUAACGGGGCUAAACCAUGCACCGAAGCUGCGGCAGCGACACUAUGUGUUGUUGGGUAGGGGAGCGUUCUGUAAGCCUGUGAAGGUGUGCUGUGAGGUAUGCUGGAGGUAUCAGAAGUGCGAAUGCUGACAUAAGUAACGAUAAAGCGGGUGAAAAGCCCGCUCGCCGGAAGACCAAGGGUUCCUGUCCAACGUUAAUCGGGGCAGGGUGAGUCGACCCCUAAGGCGAGGCCGAAAGGCGUAGUCGAUGGGAAACAGGUUAAUAUUCCUGUACUUGGUGUUACUGCGAAGGGGGGACGGAGAAGGCUAUGUUGGCCGGGCGACGGUUGUCCCGGUUUAAGCGUGUAGGCUGGUUUUCCAGGCAAAUCCGGAAAAUCAAGGCUGAGGCGUGAUGACGAGGCACUACGGUGCUGAAGUAACAAAUGCCCUGCUUCCAGGAAAAGCCUCUAAGCAUCAGGUAACAUCAAAUCGUACCCCAAACCGACACAGGUGGUCAGGUAGAGAAUACCAAGGCGCUUGAGAGAACUCGGGUGAAGGAACUAGGCAAAAUGGUGCCGUAACUUCGGGAGAAGGCACGCUGAUAUGUAGGUGAAGUCCCUUGCGGAUGGAGCUGAAAUCAGUCGAAGAUACCAGCUGGCUGCAACUGUUUAUUAAAAACACAGCACUGUGCAAACACGAAAGUGGACGUAUACGGUGUGACGCCUGCCCGGUGCCGGAAGGUUAAUUGAUGGGGUUAGCGGUAACGCGAAGCUCUUGAUCGAAGCCCCGGUAAACGGCGGCCGUAACUAUAACGGUCCUAAGGUAGCGAAAUUCCUUGUCGGGUAAGUUCCGACCUGCACGAAUGGCGUAAUGAUGGCCAGGCUGUCUCCACCCGAGACUCAGUGAAAUUGAACUCGCUGUGAAGAUGCAGUGUACCCGCGGCAAGACGGAAAGACCCCGUGAACCUUUACUAUAGCUUGACACUGAACAUUGAGCCUUGAUGUGUAGGAUAGGUGGGAGGCUUUGAAGUGUGGACGCCAGUCUGCAUGGAGCCGACCUUGAAAUACCACCCUUUAAUGUUUGAUGUUCUAACGUUGGCCCCUGAUCGGGGUUGCGGACAGUGUCUGGUGGGUAGUUUGACUGGGGCGGUCUCCUCCUAAAGAGUAACGGAGGAGCACGAAGGUUGGCUAAUCCUGGUCGGACAUCAGGAGGUUAGUGCAAUGGCAUAAGCCAGCUUGACUGCGAGCGUGACGGCGCGAGCAGGUGCGAAAGCAGGUCAUAGUGAUCCGGUGGUUCUGAAUGGAAGGGCCAUCGCUCAACGGAUAAAAGGUACUCCGGGGAUAACAGGCUGAUACCGCCCAAGAGUUCAUAUCGACGGCGGUGUUUGGCACCUCGAUGUCGGCUCAUCACAUCCUGGGGCUGAAGUAGGUCCCAAGGGUAUGGCUGUUCGCCAUUUAAAGUGGUACGCGAGCUGGGUUUAGAACGUCGUGAGACAGUUCGGUCCCUAUCUGCCGUGGGCGCUGGAGAACUGAGGGGGGCUGCUCCUAGUACGAGAGGACCGGAGUGGACGCAUCACUGGUGUUCGGGUUGUCAUGCCAAUGGCACUGCCCGGUAGCUAAAUGCGGAAGAGAUAAGUGCUGAAAGCAUCUAAGCACGAAACUUGCCCCGAGAUGAGUUCUCCCUGACCCUUUAAGGGUCCUGAAGGAACGUUGAAGACGACGACGUUGAUAGGCCGGGUGUGUAAGCGCAGCGAUGCGUUGAGCUAACCGGUACUAAUGAACCGUGAGGCUUAACCU